CGAUGAUCGCGAUGCGCGUGUAACCGAAGCAGUGGCAGGCACGGUGCCUGCAUUUCUUAUACAGAGCCAGCUAGCAGUCAGCUGCUCAGAAGUCACCGCACGACUUUUAAAUAACAUCACAUCGCGGCACGAGUGUCACUUAAGCACUGGCCAGGCACGGCCUCUGCGUUUCUUAUAUAGAGCCAGCUAACAGUCAGCUGCUCAGAAGUCACCGCACGACUUUUAAAUAACAUCACAUCGCGGCACGAGUGUCACUUAAGCACUGGCCAGGCACGGCGUCUGCAUUUCUUAUAUAGAGCCAGCUAGCAGUCAGCUGCUCAGAAGUCACCGCACGACUUUUAAAUAACAUCACAUCGCGGCACGAGUGUCACUUAAGCACUGGCCAGGCACGGCGUCUGCAUUUCUUAUAAAGAGACAGCUAGCAGCCAGCUGCUCAGAAGCCACCGCACGACUUUUAAAUGACAUCACAUCGCGGCACGAGUGUCACUUAAGCACUGGCCAGGCACGGCGUCUGCGUUUCUUAUAUAGAGCCAGCUAGCAGCCAGCUGCUCAGAAGUCACCGCACGACUUUCAAAUGACAUCACAUCGCGGCACGAGUGUCACUUAAGCACUGGCCAGGCACGGCGUCUGCGUUUCUUAUAUAGAGUCAGCUAGCAGCCAGCUGCUCAGAAGUCACCGCACGACUUUUAAAUGACAUCACAUCGCGGCACGAGUGUCACUUAGGCACUGGCCAGGCACGGCGUCUGCAUUUCUUAUAUAUAGCCAGCUAGCAGCCAGCUGCUCAGAAGUCACCGCACGACUUUCAAAUGACAUCACAUCGCGGCACGAGUGUCACUUAGGCACUGGCCAGGCACGGCGUCUGCAUUUCUUAUAUACAGCCAGCUAGCAGUCAGCUGCUCAGAAGUCACCGCACAACUUUUAAAUAACAUCACAUCACGGCACGAGUGUCACUUAGGCACUGGCCAGGCACGGCGUCUGCGUUUCUUAUAUAGAGUCAGCUAGCAGCCAGCUGCUCAGAAGUCACUGCACGACUUUUAAAUAACAUCACAUCGCGGCACGAGUGUCACUUAGGCACUGGCCAGGCACGGCGUCUGCGUUUCUUAUAUAGAGUCAGCUAGCAGCCAGCUGCUCAGAAGUCACCGCACGACUUUUAAAUAACAUCACAUCGCGGCACGAGUGUCACUUAGGCACUGGCCAGGCACGGCGUCUGCAUUUCUUAUAUAGAGUCAGCUAGCAGCCAGCUGCUCAGAAGUCACCGCACGACUUUUAAAUAACAUCACAUCGCGGCACGAGUGUCACUUAGGCACUGGCCAGGCACGGCGUCUGCAUUUCUUAUAUAGAUCCAGCUAGCAGUCAGCUGCUCAGAAGUCACCGCACGACUUUUAAAUAACAUCACAUCGCGGCACGAGUGUCACUUAGGCACUGGCCAGGCACGGCGUCUGCAUUUCUUAUAUAUAGUCAGCUAGCAGUCAGCUGCUCAGAAGUCACUGCACGACUUUUAAAUAACAUCACAUCACGGCACGAGUGUCACUUAGGCACUGGCCAGGCACGGCGUCUGCAUUUCUUAUAUACAGCCAGCUAGCAGUCAGCUGCUCAGAAGUCACCGCACGACUUUUAAAUAACAUCACAUCGCGGCACGAGUGUCACUUAGGCACUGGCCAGGCACGGCGUCUGCGUUUCUUAUAUAGAGUCAGCUAGCAGCCAGCUGCUCAGAAGUCACCGCACGACUUUUAAAUAACAUCACAUCGCGGCACGAGUGUCACUUAGGCACUGGCCAGGCACGGCGUCUGCAUUUCUUAUAUAGAGCCAGCUAGCAGUCAGCUGCUCAGAAGUCACCGCACGACUUUUAAAUAACAUCACAUCGCGGCACGAGUGUCACUUAGGCACUGGCCAGGCACGGCGUCUGCGUUUCUUAUAUAGAGUCAGCUAGCAGUCAGCUGCUCAGAAGUCACUGCACGACUUUUAAAUAACAUCACAUCACGGCACGAGUGUCACUUAGGCACUGGCCAGGCACGGCGUCUGCAUUUCUUAUAUACAGCCAGCUAGCAGUCAGCUGCUCAGAAGUCACCGCACAACUUUUAAAUAACAUCACAUCGCGGCACGAGUGUCACUUAGGCACUGGCCAGGCACGGCGUCUGCGUUUCUUAUAUAGAGUCAGCUAGCAGCCAGCUGCUCAGAAGUCACUGCACGACUUUUAAAUAACAUCACAUCACGGCACGAGUGUCACUUAGGCACUGGCCAGGCACGGCGUCUGCGUUUCUUAUAUAGAGUCAGCUAGCAGUCAGCUGCUCAGAAGUCACCGCACAACUUUUAAAUAACAUCACAUCACGGCACGAGUGUCACUUAGGCACUGGCCAGGCACGGCGUCUGCAUUUCUUAUAUAGAGCCAGCUAGCAGUCAGCUGCUCAGAAGUCACCGCACGACUUUUAAAUAACAUCACAUCGCGGCACGAGUGUCACUUAAGCACUGGCCAGGCACGGCGUCUGCAUUUCUUAUAUAGAGCCAGCUAGCAGUCAGCUGCUCAGAAGUCACCGCACGACUUUUAAAUAACAUCACAUCGCGGCACGAGUGUCACUUAACCACUGGCCAGGCACGGCGUCUGCAUUUCUUAUAUAGAGCCAGCUAGCAGUCAGCUGCUCAGAAGUCACCGCACGACUUUUAAAUGACAUCACAUCGCGGCACGAGUGUCACUUAAGCACUGGCGAGGCAGUUAACAGCCAGCUUUUUAGAAGUCACCGCACGACUUUUAAAUCACAUCACAUCGCGAUGCGUGUGCACUUUAAGCACUUAUGUAUCUGACUGCUUGACAUGACUUUUGCAGCUUUGCAUGUAGCUUGUUCCGUCGGGUUUUGAUUUUCAUUACUUUCCAUACUUCUGUCGAGAUCGUCGUAUGGACAAUGCAUGGGUUUCCCAAUGUUGAUCACGUGGGCCGACAACUUUAAAGGUAACCUUAUGCCUAACUCUGGACAGUAUAUUCCCGCACCAACUCGAUCGUCUAUUUUCGAGCCAUCCGUAUAGAUGUUUAGAGUGUUGCACUUAGCUAACAUAGCUUCAUGCCAGGCAUCUUUUUCGAUGUUUACUUUGAACCUCCUUUCCCAGAAGUAAAGUGGAGUCAUGCAGUCGGUGUUUGCCCAACCGCCAUUACCCACCGAGCUAUACCCGAAGGUUCUAUAUGUAUAUUCUCCUGCAGUUUUUCUGCGCAGUUUUCAGCGAAGAAGUCUAUAAGUGGCAGGUCUAGUACCAGUUCAAGAGCUGCCGUUGGAGUUUCCGUUAUAUAACUUAUUCCUAAGAGUAAAGUAAUACUUUUUUAUAACUUAAAACUGUCGCCA